rnacentral:rRNA from 1 species
UGGGGAAUCUUGCACAAUGGGGGCAACCCUGAUGCAGCGACGCCGCGUGAGCGAUGAAGCCCUUCGGGGCGUAAAGCUCUUUCGACCGGAACGAUAAUGACGGUACCGGGAGAAGAAGCUGCGGCUAACUACGUGCCAGCAGCCGCGGUAAUACGUAGGCAGCAAGCGUUGUUCGGAGUUACUGGGCGUAAAGAGUGCGUAGGCGGUUUUCUAAGUUCGGUGUGAAAUCUCCCGGCUUAACUGGGAGGGUGCGCCGAAGACUGGGAGGCGGGAGUGUGGGAAAGGCAGGCGGAAUUCCUGGUGUAGCGGUGAAAUGCGUAGAUAUCAGGAGGAACACCGGCGGUGUAGACGGCUUGCUAGACCAUAACUGACGCUGAGGCACGAAAGCGUGGGUAGCAAACA